UACGUAGGUGGCGAGCGUUGUCCGGAAUUAUUGGGCGUAAAGCGCGCGCAGGCGGUCCUUUAAGUCUGAUGUGAAAGCCCACGGCUCAACCGUGGAGGGUCAUUGGAAACUGGGGGACUUGAGUACAGAAGAGAAGAGUGGAAUUCCACGUGUAGCGGUGAAAUGCGUAGAGAUGUGGAGGAACACCAGUGGCGAAGGCGACUCUUUGGUCUGUAACUGACGCUGAGGCGCGAAAGCGUGGGGAGCAAACAGG
rnacentral:rRNA from 1 species